rnacentral:rRNA from 1 species
GGUCUGAGAGGAUGGUCAGCCACAUUGGGACUGAGAUACGGUCCAGACUCCUACGGGAGGCAGCAGUGGGGAAUCUUGGCCAAUGGGCGAAAGCCCGAGCCAGCGACACCGCGUGGGGGAUGAAGGCUUUCGGGUCGUAAACCCCUUUUCUGGGGGAGGAAUAAGGCCGGGAGGAAAUGCCCGCCCGAUGACAGUACCCCAGGAAUAAGCAUCGGCAAACUUCGUGCCAGCAGCCGCGGUAAGACGGAGGAUGCGAGCGUUAUCCGGAAUUACUGGGCGUAAAGGGCGUCUAGGCGGUCGAGCAAGUCAUUUGUGAAAGCCCUCGGCUCAACCGAGGAAGGUCAAGUGAUACUGUCCGGCUAGGGUGCAGGAGAGGAGAGUGGAACUCAUAGAGUAGCGGUGGAAUGCGCAGAUACUAUGAGGUACCCCGAUGGCGAAGGCAACUCUCUGGCCUGCUACCGACGCUGAAGCGCGAAAGCGUGGGGAGCAAAGGGGAUUAGAUACCCCCGUAGUCCACGCCCCAAACGAUGUCCACUGGGUGUCGGCCACUAUAUGCAGGUCGGUGCCGGAGCUAACGCGUUAAGUGGACCGCCUGGGGAGUACGGCCGCAAGGCUAAAACUCAAGAGAAUUGACGGGUCCCCGCACAAGCGGUGGAGCACGUGGCUUAAUUCGAUGAUAAGCGAAGAACCUCACCUGGGCUUGACAUGCUAGUGGUAGGAACCGGAAACGGGGACGACCCUUCCCUUCGGGGUUGGGAGCUAGCACAGGUGAUGCAUGGCUGUCGUCAGCUCGUGUCGUGGGAUGUAGGGUUAAGUCCCGAAACGAGCGCAACCCCUGUCGUCAGUUGCCAGCGGAUCAUGCCGGGGACUCUGACGAGACUGCUGGUGAAUAGCCGGAGGAAGGAGGGGAUGACGUCAAGUCAUCAUGUCCCUUAUGUCCAGGGCGGCACACAUGCUACAAUGGGAGGUACAAAGAGUUGCGAAACCGUAAGGUGGAGCGAAUCUCAUAAAGCCUCCCCCAGUUCGGAUUGAGGUCUGCAACUCGACCUCAUGAAGCGGGAAUCGCUAGUAAUCGCAGGUCAGCCAUACUGCGGUGAAUAUGUACUCGGGGAUUACACACCGCCCGUCACACCAACCGAGUGGGGGGUACCUGAAGUCGCCUCUUCGCAGGCGCCGAGGGUAACUUCCGCAAGAGGGGUGAAGUCGUAACAAGGUA